AUUGAACGCUGGCGGCAUGCCUUACACAUGCAAGUCGAACGGUAACGCGCCUUCGGGUGCCGACGAGUGGCGAACGGGUGAGUAAUACAUCGGAACGUGCCCGAUCGUGGGGGAUAACGAGGCGAAAGCUUUGCUAAUACCGCAUACGAUCUACGGAUGAAAGCAGGGGACCGCAAGGCCUUGCGCGGACGGAGCGGCCGAUGGCAGAUUAGGUAGUUGGUGGGAUAAAAGCUUACCAAGCCGACGAUCUGUAGCUGGUCUGAGAGGAUGAUCAGCCACACUGGGACUGAGAAACGGCCCAGACUCCUAAGGGAGGCAGCAGUGGGGAAUUUUGGACAAUGGGCGCAAGCCUGAUCCAGCCAUGCCGCGUGCAGGAUGGAGGCCUUCGGGUUGUAAACUGCUUUUGUACGGAACGAAAAGCCUUCUUUUAAUACAGGAGGGUCAUGACGGUACCGUAAGAAUAAGCACCGGCUAACUACGUG
rnacentral:rRNA from 1 species